AGGGUGGCUGUGUACAAGUAAGGUACAGCUAAGAUACAGCUACUAUACAGCUACAAGACAAGACAAGUCACACUCCUAUAUAGCUAUAGGACAAGACAAAUCAUACAGCUAACAUCCUCCCUCAAACUCAAGAUGGUAACGAAGAUGCUAACUUGAGUUUGUGAACCAAAUUCCGAUGACGCCCUGGUAGAUGAGCCUUCGUAAAAAUAUCAGCGAGCUGAUCUGCAGAAGCAACAUGUAUCAACUGAAGAGUGCCUUGCUUGAUAUGAUGCCG
rnacentral:lncRNA from 1 species